UACGUAGGGGGCAAGCGUUGUCCGGAUUUACUGGGCGUAAAGCGCGCGUAGGCGGAAGUGUAAGUCUGGCCUGAAAGCCCCCGGCUCAACCGGGGAGGGUGGCUGGAAACUGUGCUUCUGAGGCGAUAGAGGAGUGUGGAAUUUCCUGGUGUAGCGGUGAAAUGCGUAGAGAUCAGGAGGAACACCGUGGCGAAGGCGGCACUCUGGUCGGCCCGACGCUGAGGCGCGAAGCGUGGGAGCGAACGGG
rnacentral:rRNA from 1 species